rnacentral:tRNA from 1 species
GAGAGAGGCUUGCAGCAACGAAAACUGCUAACUUUCAUUUACCUAGGUUGGACUCCUAGGCUCACUCG